rnacentral:rRNA from 1 species
GGGUGGUAAUACCGGAUGCUCCGCUCCAUCGCAUGGUGGGGUGGGAAAUGCUUUUGCGGCAUGGGAUGGGGUCGCGUCCUAUCAGCUUGUUGGCGGGGUGAUGGCCCACCAAGGCGUUGACGGGUAGCCGGCCUGAGAGGGUGACCGGCCACAUUGGGACUGAGAUACGGCCCAGACUCCUACGGGAGGCAGCAGUGGGGAAUAUUGCACAAUGGGCGCAAGCCUGAUGCAGCGACGCCGCGUGCGGGAUGGAGGCCUUCGGGUUGUAAACCGCUUUUGUUCAAGGGCAAGGCACGGUUUCGGCCGUGUUGAGUGGAUUGUUCGAAUAAGCACCGGCUAACUACGUGCCAGCAGCCGCGGUAAUACGUAGGGUGCGAGCGUUAUCCGGAUUUAUUGGGCGUAAAGGGCUCGUAGGCGGUUCGUCGCGUCCGGUGUGAAAGUCCAUCGCCUAACGGUGGAUCUGCGCCGGGUACGGGCGGGCUGGAGUGCGGUAGGGGAGACUGGAAUUCCCGGUGUAACGGUGGAAUGUGUAGAUAUCGGAAAGAACACCA